rnacentral:rRNA from 1 species
GCAUAUCAAUAAGCGGAGGAAAAGAAACCAACCGGGAUUGCCUUAGUAACGGCGAGUGAAGCGGCAAAAGCUCAAAUUUGAAAUCUGGUACCUUCGGUGCCCGAGUUGUAAUUUGGAGAGGGCAACUUUGGGGCCGUUCCUUGUCUAUGUUCCUUGGAACAGGACGUCAUAGAGGGUGAGAAUCCCGUGUGGCGAGGAGUGCGGUUCUUUGUAAAGUGCCUUCGAAGAGUCGAGUUGUUUGGGAAUGCAGCUCUAAGUGGGUGGUAAAUUCCAUCUAAAGCUAAAUAUUGGCGAGAGACCGAUAGCGAACAAGUACAGUGAUGGAAAGAUGAAGAGAACUUUGAAAAGAGAGUGAAAAAGUCCGUGAAAUUGUUGAAAGGGAAGGGCAUUUGAUCAGACAUGGUGUUUUGUGCCCUCUGCUCCUUGUGGGUAGGGGAAUCUCGCAUUUCACUGGGCCAGCAUCAGUUUUGGUGGCAGGAUAAAUCCAUAGGAAUGUAGCUUGCCUCGGUAAGUAUUAUAGCCUGUGGGAAUACUGCCAGCUGGGACUGAGGACUGCGACGUAAGUCAAGGAUGCUGGCAUAAUGGUUAUAUGCCGCCCGUCUUGAAACACGGACC